rnacentral:lncRNA from 1 species
GAAAGCCAUAUCAUUUGGCUUGUUUACACCUUUGGCUAGUGUGAAUAAUGCUGCUAUGAACAAAGACAUGCAGAUACCUGCUGGGGCCCCUGCUCUCAGUUCUUUUCAGAAUACACCAGAAGUAGAAUUGCUGCAUCGUGUGAUCCCUGGGUGUCCUGCUGCCCCCUCACAUGGAGAAAUCCCAGCACUGGGAGAAAGGACAGGGUCUGUAUUAUCAGAUACAUGCAGCCACUCCUCCAGCGUCCCCUCUCCCAUAGGGCAAGUCCGGAUGCUCCAGGCUCUCCCCAGUGUUGCUGUUAGAUUUCUCUGCAGAGCUGGGAUCUCCAUUCCCCAUACUUUGCUGCUUUUUGUUUGUUUGUUUCCUGUUUCUCAAGGCAUAUAAAGCUGCAGGAAUACAGAUGGGAUUGGAUCUGCGGCACCUAAAACAAAUGCUGGAUAAACAUUUCCAGAAUGUAUGAA